rnacentral:misc_RNA from 1 species
GAAAUGCGAUAAGUAGUGUGAAUUGCAGAAUUCAGUGAAUCAUCGAAUCUUUGAACGCACAUUGCGCCCUUUGGUAUUCCAAAGGGCAUGACUGUUCGAGCGUCAUUUGUACCCUCAAGCUUUGCUUGGUGUUGGGCGUCUUGUCUCUAGCUUUGCUGGAGACUCGCCUUAAAGUAAUUGGCAGCCGGCCUACUGGUUUCGGAGCGCAGCACAAGUCGCACUCUCUAUCAGCAAAGGUCUAGCAUCCAUUAAGCCUUUUUUUCAACUUUUGACCUCGGAUCAGGUAGGGAUACCCGCUGAACUUAAGC